rnacentral:pre_miRNA from 1 species
AACGUUUGACCGUUCGUUUUAUUUGAAUUUUUUUUAGAUUAGUAUUUUUAUUGUUAUUAGUAGAUGAUAAAACAUGAAAAAAAAAUAUUUUAUGUGUCACUAUUUUUUUUUAUUUUUUUAUAAACUUUUCAAAUAAGACGGACGGUCAAAUGUU